UACGAAGGGGGCUAGCGUUGUUCGGAUUUACUGGGCGUAAAGAGUGUGUAGGCGGUGCUCUAAGUUCGGUGUGAAAUCUCCUGGCUUAACUGGGAGGGUGCGCCGGAAACUGGAAUGCUCGAGCGUGGGAGAGGAAAGCGGAAUUCCUGGUGUAGCGGUGAAAUGCGUAGAUAUCAGGAGGAACACCUGUGGUGUAGACAGCUUUCUGGACCAUUGCUGACGCUGAGACACGAAAGCGUGGGUAGCAAACAGG
rnacentral:rRNA from 1 species